rnacentral:rRNA from 1 species
GACGAAGGAUGCAAGCGUUAUCCGGAUUCAUUGGGUUUAAAGGGAGCGUAGGUGGUCUUAUAAGUCAGUGGUGAAAUCUCUGGGCUUAACCCAGAAAUUGCCAUUGAUACUGUAGGACUUGAGUAUAGUUGCCGUUGGCGGAAUAUGACAUGUAGUGGUGAAAUACAUAGAGAUGUCAUAGAACACCGAUUGCGAAGGCAGCUAACGAAACUAUAACUGACACUGAGGCUCGAAAAGUGUGGGGAUCAAACAGG